GGAUACUACAAUUUCAGGAUUUGUUUUCCAUGUAGAAAUCAAUGUAUUAUAAAACUAAGAAAUGGUUGGACAACUGGUUGAUAGGAGUUUUUUAAGACCAAUCAAAACCUUUAGCUUGCUUGGAUCUUCCUUCAUCUUAAAAUGAUUUCAUACUGUUUAAAUUGUAUGUAUUAUUAACUUUUUUCUUAUCACAAUUGAUCCAUGUCAUAGAUAUCAACAUUCAGAUAUUAUAAUAACAAUUUAAAAUAAAUAGAUUUUGAUCAAAUUAAAUGAUUAUUAUAGAGGAAGAAAUUAGAGAUGUGGCUAAUAUUGGCUAAAAAUGAAAACUGCACAUCCAGUUGGGGAAAAAAACUGUUUUUUUCUAUCACCAGGGCACCAUGACUGUUUGUUCCCCGCGGUGAGGUUAUUUCGUUUGCACCAUGAGUGAUUUAAUUGGCACAAAUCUGGUGGCUUUGUUUUACAUCUUGAGUUUCCUAAUUGCAGUUCUAUUAAAUUGGAAGGAAACAAAGGCAAUUUUCUUAUUUAGUUAUUAUGCUGAUGGUGAACUACAAUGAGGAGAAAUAUAUUUGUUUUAAUGAAUUCCCGUGCAUCUGCACAGGAAAAAAAGAAUCACUUCCUGUUCUUUUUUAACUUUACAAUUUUUAGGUUUCAGUGUUACUGAAGGAGAGAUGUAUGUUUCUCCCUUUGAAUAUUUGUUUGUUAAUGGGGAUGGUGGGGAGAGGGAAGUGUAACCCAAAGAAGGUUAGAUCUACCUUGCCCUCAAGGUUUGAACACGUUUAUCCCCACAAACUCAUGUUGGAAUUUGAUUGUGGUGGUGUUGGGAGGUGGGUCUUCCGAGAGGGCAUGAGAUCAUGAAGGGGAGGUGAAUGCCGUUCUCUCCUGUGUGGGUCAGUUUCCAUGGGAUUCCAUCGGUUGCUACGAGAGCAGGUUGUGAUAGAGUGUGUCUCUUUCGUCGGUGUCCACCUGCUCUUCUGCUUUUCUGUCAUCAGCACAAGGCCUUUUCCAAACUUCUUGCCCCAUCAUAGACUUGCAGCCUUUAGAACCAAGUGCUGAAUCUAUUUUCCUUGAUGAAUUACCCAGACUCAGGUAUUCUGUUAUAGCAACAGAAAACGGACCAAGACACUUACUCUUGUGAAAUUAUUAUUUUUUUCUCCGUACCAUCUCCCCAAUUAGAAAUGACUCAUGACUUCCCAGUGUUUUACCUGAUACACCAGGAACUUCUUGGUCUAGCAUUUGCAAUUCAUUUUCUUGCCUUGUCUUCUAGUACUUGACCCAAGUGAAUUCCCUUCUGCAAACAGGAACCAAUUUACUGACUCCUUUUCCAGUGUUCCUAAACUAAUUUUCCUAUGUGGAAACCCCCGUCUGGUCAUGCCCAUGGGCCCAGGAUGAGGCAAGUGGAAGAACUAUGUGGGGGUAGA
rnacentral:lncRNA from 1 species